rnacentral:misc_RNA from 1 species
UCGUAUAAAAAGAGGUGCUAAGGGCUGUCGCUGUCCCUCAGGGGUCGUGCACGCCCAAAGUGCCUCCAUACAAUCCAUCUCACCCCUUUGUGCAUCACCGCGUGGGUUCCUCCCUUGCGGGAAGGGCCUGCGUUUUAUCAUAAAACUCGAUACAGUGUAGAAUGUUUAUUUUUGCGGUCACACGCAAUCAAUA